CAUUGCACACACGCCAGGAUGGCGAGUGUCCUGGAGGUACACGUAGCGUGAUCGGUAUAAGCGAAACUUAUAUACGGCCUCCCGGGGUAUAACGGUAUUUCGUAACGAGCGGGCGUAACUCGCCACUUCGAAAGUGGACUGCAACGAUAGCUCGGAAAGAGGUGAUAUCGGGUCCUGGGUCCGAGUCCCCUCCUCGGGCCCCACCGGUGCAGCUUUGUUGCGGCGAGUUAAUUAUUGUGUUGCCCCUCAAACGAAAAAAAUUGAUUAAUAUCCCCCAGUGCCAAUGUAGAUAUCCCAGUGAAGACUGGGAACAUGUGCUCUGGAACUGUCCGAAAUAUGAUGUACAAAGACAGAAGAUGUUCCAGCGGACGAGACUAAAAAAAUUCGCCGUUUACAUGGAGAGAAAAAUUCUCUGGAAAUUAUGGAACAAAUUACGGAACAGUUACGGAUUUUUUCAGGUGAACUUUCGGGAAAAAGUCUAGAACGCGCUGGAAAGGCGUUAAAUUACGGAAUGACUGCCUGUGACAGGUAGAUAUACCCCGUUGUAUCGAGUCGAAUGUGAUUCGAGAGGGAACCUUGAUCCGCAAAUAGCGACUGUGUGUCGAACUGUCCCUACUACAUCUCAAUGAAACAACGGCACCAUGUCCUCACACCACUGACAUGUCAAUUAACACUCACGGAUUAUCAACAGUGGUGGAGAGUCGCAAAAUGAGUGAAUACACUUUCAGGGGAAAAAAUCAGGUCCCUCGUCAGGGAGAGAAUCCAGUGACAGAUGAUUUUAGCCUCCAGCCAACGAGAUUAUUUUACCAUGUGAAUAUUCGAAGGGAUGGGCGUAUGCCACGCUAGGCCCGAGCUAUGACGCGAGUCCAGAAACAGACGGGGCUUGUCUUGGUCCCAAGACUGGUCCAGGCUUCACCCAAUUGUCAAUUCCUACCUGGGACCCGGUCAAUGAAGAAAAG